UACGGAGGGGGCUAGCGUUGUUCGGAAUUACUGGGCGUAAAGCGCACGUAGGCGGCUUUGCAAGUCAGAGGUGAAAGCCCGGGGCUCAACCCCGGAAUUGCCUUUGAGACUGCAUCGCUAGAAUUGUGGAGAGGUAAGUGGAAUUCCGAGUGUAGAGGUGAAAUUCGUAGAUAUUCGGAAGAACACCAGUGGCGAAGGCGACUUACUGGACACAUAUUGACACUGAGGCACGAAAGCUAGGGGAGCAAACAGG
rnacentral:rRNA from 1 species